AAACUUUCUGUUCAUCUAUUUCUUCAUGUUCUGUCUUCAUUUUCCUCUCCCACUGAUUACACUUGUUUUAUUGCGGGAUGGGUUAAAGUUUAAUGACUUGACUGCCCGCGUUCCUCGCCUAUAAAUUUCUCUGUUUUUGAGCACUCUGCUGUUGAGAAAGAUUACGAAAACUAAACAUAUCAGUCAGCACUUGAUGAGAAUGGUCUCCAAAGUAACAAUAGUAGCAGUAGCAUUUCUGCUGCUGGCAGCUGUCGGCACUUUUGUGGGCAUUUUCUUCGGUGUGAAAAAGAAACACCUGGGAUAUCUGAAGGCAGCUGUGGCUGCAGAUGCUGGACCAUGUUCAGAAGUUGGCAGAGACAUCCUCUUAAAGGGAGGUUCUGCGGUCGAUGCCGCUAUUUCGUCAUCAUUAUGUGUUGGAUUAAUGAAUGCUCACAGUAUGGGGAUAGGAGGAGGCUUUUUUAUCACCAUAUUUAAUUCAAAAACUGGUCAAAUUGAAACCAUUGAUGCCAGAGAGACAGCGCCACGCAACGCUACAAAGGACAUGUUUGGAAACAAUGCCGAUUUAUCUAAGACGGGAGGGUUGGCCAUCGCCGUACCAGGAGAGAUUCGAGGAUAUGAGUUGGCUCACAGUCGUCAUGGCAAACUGCCAUGGAAAGAGUUGUUCCAGCCCAGUAUUGAGAUAGCAGAAAAAGGAUUUCCACUGGGCAGAGCACUCGCCAUAGCUUUGUCCAAAAACAAAGACACCAUCAUUAAGGACACAGCUCUGUGUGAAGUGUUUUGCGGGGCAAAUGGUGAUGUCCUGAAAGAAAACGAAACAAUUAAGUUCCUCAAACUGGCUGAAACUUACAGAAAGCUAGCCGAGAAUGGUGCUGGAGAAUUUUACGAGGGACAAACCUCUCAAAAUCUAAUCAAAGACAUUCAGGCAAAAGGUGGCAUCAUCACAAUGGAGGAUCUGAAGGAUUAUGUGCCUGUUUUGGAUGAGAAUCCUUUAAGAGUAAAUGUGGGGGAGUACACCAUGGUUGUUCCCAAUGCCCCCGCUAGCGGCCCUGUGCUAUCGCUGAUAUUAAACAUCUUACGUGGCUACAACCUCAGUGCAGAAAGUGUUUCUACCCCAGAGAAAAAGAUCCUAACCUACCAUCGCAUUUUGGAGGCCUUUCGGUUUGCUUACGCUAGAAGAAGUGUUCUUGGAGAUCGAAACUUUCUCAACAUCACAGAUUUUAUCCAGAACAUAACAUCCAGUUCCUAUGCUGAUGCCACCCGUGAAAAGAUUACGGAUGAAACCACACAUCCCAUAAACUAUUAUGAGCCAGAGUUUUGGAUUCCUGACAACCACGGGACGGCACACCUGUCAGUAGUAUCAGAGGAUGGAAGUGCCGUGGCUAUCACCAGCACUAUUAACCAUAUGUUGGGCUCCAAAGUCUUGUCCAGAUCUACAGGAAUUCUUCUCAACAACGAAAUGAAUGAUUUCAGCUCUCCCAACAUCACAAAUGGAUUUGGGGUUCCUCCUUCACCCAACAACUUCAUCAAGCCAGGGAAAAGGCCGAUGUCCUCCAUGUGUCCAACCAUUCUUUUCAAUAAAAACAACCAAGUAAAGAUGGUGGUUGGAGCUUCAGGUGGAACACAGAUCACUACUUCUGUAGUUCUGGUAAAACACGCUUCUCUGCAAGAACUACUUAUUAUAAAUAAGACAACUAUAAUAAUAUCCAUCUUUACCAUUUCACAGGUUAUUCUGAAUGUGCUAUUUUUUGACUACGAUCUGAACAGAGCUGUGACAGAACCAAGGGUCCACAACCAGCUGAGUCCAAACUAUUCAGUGUUUGAGCCUGAAUUUGACAAAGGUAUCGUGGAAGGUUUGAUAAAGAAGAACCACGAGACCAAGCUGCUCACAUCCACUGGAGCCGUGGUGCAGGCUGUGGUCCGUUAUGAAAAUGGCCUGCGUGCUCAGUCGGAUCCUCGUAAAUGGGCGUAUGCAGCUGGGUACUGAGGUCCUAAAUGCUCCUCUGGUUAUGGAGAGCAUCUGUAGCUGUCUGAACUUUGGCACCUCUGGGAGUCUGAACUCAGAGAGAACCCUUCAGAAGAAGAAGACAGCAUUUUAAUGUUUCAAAUUAUUCACUCAGAGAGUAACAGUAACAUUACAGAAGAAAUCAAACCUCUCAUGAUUUGGAGAAUGAACGCAAGCAGAGCCCCCCCAGCAGGCGGUGGAGGAAUAUGCAACUGAAGGUUUCCCAGAGAAACCACCCAUGGCCUGUCCACAUGCACCUCAAAGGACUUCAGGUCUUCGAUUGUUAAAGUUCCACCUGAGACAAAAUAACCAGAGGACGAAUAAAGUCUGAUUUCCUCA